ensembl:snoRNA
UUAUGAUGAAGUGACCAUAAAUAUAGCUGGAAUUACCGGCAGACUGUAAGUGGUGAUAUUGGUUGCUCUGAGG